rnacentral:rRNA from 1 species
AACGAACGCUGGCGGCAGGCCUAACACAUGCAAGUCGAGCGCCGUAGCAAUACGGAGCGGCAGACGGGUGAGUAACACGUGGGAACGUGCCCAAAGGUACGGAACAACUCCGGGAAACUGGAGCUAAUACCGUAUGUGCCCGAGAGGGGAAAGAUUUAUCGCCUUUGGAUCGGCCCGCGUAAGAUUAGCUUGUUGGUGAGGUAACGGCUUACCAAGUCGAUAACGGGUAGCUGGUUUGAGAGAACGACCAGCCAGAAUGGAACUGAGACACGGUCCAUACUCCUACGGGAGGCAGCAGUGAGGAAUCUUCCGCAAUGGGCGAAAGCCUGACGGAGCGACACCGCGUGAAGGAUGAAGCCGGUUUCCGGUGUAAACUUCUGUUCUGAGGGACGAAAUUUUUGACGGUACCUCAGGAGAAAGCAUCGGCUAAUUCUGUGCCAGCCGCCGCCGUAA